GCUGAUUGAUUGAAUCGGACUAAAAUUAAUCCAUUUGGGUUCAAAGUUUGAAGGAACCAAAAUCAGAACUAUAAAAGAUUCCUCUCGAUUUAGGUUUUCAUCCAAUUCGAUUAUAACUUGAUGAGAAAUUCAGGCCUUUUUGUUUCCAAACAAUAAGCUCCAUGAGUAUGUGUUGCCUUUCUGUGCAGCUACUUCAACUCGCUUUCCUCCAAUCUUAUCCAUGAGCCAGUAGCCAAUGGUUGGCAUGUAUUGCACUAGAUACAUAACAGUAAGUACUGGCUGAUGAUCCAAGCCUCCUUUAAACCAUGGGUGGCUGCAAUAAUUGUCAAUUCUGCACACCUUUCUGACGA
rnacentral:misc_RNA from 1 species